AGUGAACGCUGGCGGUAGGCCUAACACAUGCAAGUCGAACGGCAGCACAGUAAGAGCUUGCUCUUACGGGUGGCGAGUGGCGGACGGGUGAGGAAUACAUCGGAAUCUACUUUUUCGUGGGGGAUAACGUAGGGAAACUUACGCUAAUACCGCAUACGACCUACGGGUGAAAGCAGGGGAUCUUCGGACCUUGCGCGAUUGAAUGAGCCGAUGUCGGAUUAGCUAGUUGGCGGGGUAAAGGCCCACCAAGGCGACGAUCCGUAGCUGGUCUGAGAGGAUGAGCAGCCACACUGGAACUGAGACACGGUCCAGACUCCUACGGGAGGCAGCAGUGGGGAAUAUUGGACAAUGGGCGCAAGCCUGAUCCAGCCAUACCGCGUGGGUGAAGAAGGCCUUCGGGUUGUAAAGCCCUUUUGUUGGGAAAGAAAAGCAGCAGGUUAAUACCCCGCUGUUCUGACGGUACCCAAAGAAUAAGCGCCGGCUAACUUCGUG
rnacentral:rRNA from 1 species